GGACUGUUGCCUCUAAGGUCAAACUUGAGAAAGUUCAGCAGGUGGAAAAACCGACACAAGUUGCUGAACCUGAACCGAAUUUGGUUAGAUCAGAUUCAGAGCCCAUUGUUCCUGCACCCUUAAGACGGUCUGGUAGAGUACCACGUCAAUCGGACAGAUACUAUGGUUUCUUGAUCUGGGACGGCGAUCCUAUCGAACUUGAUGAAAAUGAUGG
rnacentral:lncRNA from 1 species